AGAAUAUAAUUUACAGGAUAAUAAUAUAAAAAAUAUAUAAGACUCUUAAUUUAUUCAACAAACAAAUCGUUGCGUUUAAAAGUCUAGUUGUUACAGUUUCACAUGAAUGAGAUCAUAGCUUGUAAAUAUGUUUGCACUUAAAUGAAUAACGCUUGCGGUUUCCGGUGUGGAUUCAGUCUUAGGAUAUGAGCGUACCUUCGUUCUCGGCUGUCUACGAUUUUAAUUACAAGCACGGUUCUCUUCUCUAGGAGAGAGAACUUCUUGCUAGCGGCUUUCAGAGCCGACGUGCGCGGGCACCGUAUCGGGACGAACACAAUUACCAUUAUUUCGUCUCGAUCUACAUUGUUUCUUUUAGAGGCGAGUCGAGUGCGAUUAAAUCUUGAUUAAAAUGACGCGAAUCUAGGCGAGGGCAAAUUGGCGAGUAAAUUUGCGCGAAUAUAAUGGAUACCCCGUUAGUUAGACCGUACUUUGAGUAAUCGCAGCAAUCUAAUACGCACCGUUGAGCAAACGCUCGCCGUGUAACCUGCUUUGAGCUGUCUGCGAGCUACCGGACAAGAUCUAUCGGCGUUUUCACGGUAUACGUAUUUUCCAGUGAAGGAAAUUAAUAGACGCGCGCGCGACGCGUUAACGACGUAGCGAGCCUCGUUUAUCUCCUGUUCAGUUUUUCGCGAUAUGGACAAGCAUCCCGUGAGUCUCAUUCUCGAGUCUUUUCCUCGGCAUGAAAACACAGGUGGUAUUCGAACAAAAUCGAAGCAAGCGUGAUCCAAGGCGAUUAAAAGCGAUUAAUAUUGAAAUAUAUUUCCGCUUCUCGUUAUCAAUGCUUUAAUUAUAUGACUCUAUUUCUAGAUUUCGAUAAAAAAAGCGAAUUAUCUUUUGCAGCACAUCUCGAGAGACGGUAGAAGAAAACUAGAGAAAAGAGUAGAAAAGAACGGCGGGGAAAAGAAGUAGGUAGAGAAGAACUUCAAUAAAGUAGAGCUAGUACGUUGGGAUAUUGAUAUAAAUGAUCGAAAUCACGUUUGUGAGAAAAAAUCCAGUCCGAUAUUUAACAACCUCGCCUAUUCCACGGCUUUCCGUCAAAGAGAGAAAGAGAGAUUGAUUAUCAGCUUCAAUAUAUCCGUUUCCAUAUUUAUGCAAGUACAUAUGAUGAAUUGCUUUACACACGCUAAGCUUAUGUUAAUUUGUGCAAACCUGUUUAAUGCGCAAAUAUUGAAUUGUAAAACGCUUCCGCCAUCGCGUUGCCAUUGCUACUAUCUCGAUGUACGCAUUUCGCUUGUUUGUCCGUGAUUCGAAAGCAAUGCGGCGAAAGUGAUUACAAAAUAUCGGAUUUAUUUAUAGACCCCUUGGCACGCGAGAAUUUCAAUUCUGCUGGUUAUCUAAAAUGGAGUUGCAAUGUCGCGAUUGUUUAGCAUGCGAGGUGUUGCUCAUGCGAAUCGCGCAAGUCGUUGUUAACUGCGGGAACGCCUCGGGGGCCACAGAGGACGAGAGAUCCCUUUACGUCGUCGGUGGGGCCCGCGCGUUAUUUUCUCGCCGAGAUAAGAUCGGCGCCGCUAAAAAUAGCACGGGCACACUAUCGACGAUACCAAGGAGCGAGAGCAUUCCGGCGAGAUUACCAAAAAUCUACGAUAACCUGUCCUAGCAGGAUUUUAUUGAGAUUGACGUUUCCCGAGGAGGAGGAAUGCGAAGCUUAACGGGGCCCCGCUGUGGCCCUUCUCCUCCACCUCUUCCUUCAUGACGAGCUUCGUUUGCGUACAUACAUACAUAUAUAUGUAUGCGGGCUGUUGACCGCUUUACAUAACGAGAAAAGAUACCGCAAGCUUUCACGAAUAUUAUCGGCAUCGUUAUAUCUGCGCUGCGUAAACCUUUUCAGCGCUGGACAAACGUUUUUAUUAACAGAACUAUGUGUAUAUGCGAGGAUUCGCGCAUCGAAGUUAUCGAAAAUUAAGUAUGGCAUAAUGAAAAGAUCCUCCGUACAAGGUCGUCGCAAGGCCGAGUGUCUCUUCAUCCUUUCUAUCGUCGGGUAGUUAUAAGACGAAACCCCCGGAGUGCGUAAUGAGAGUAUUAUUACGCGGUAAUUUCGCAGAAACAAUUCCCAUUAAGCGUAAAGCUCCGAAACUGACUCUAUUAUUAGUUGAAUCAUCAGGGAAAAGAAGAUUAACAGUGUUCAUUGGAGAUUAAAUUCCAAUGUAAUUUUAUCGAGCCUGAUUUUCUACCCUGUCGGAAUGCAUAUACUUCAGAGAAUAUCUUUGCGUGAAAAUCUCGGCUCGUUUAUAUCGAUUUUUGAUAAAGAUGAACGUUUCUCUCUUUCUCUCUCUCUCUCUCUCUCCGCGGAUGAAGACGUCGCGCGUUUCUCAUACUUCCUACAUCGAUCGAUUGGCGAAUUCCUCUCGCGAUACGCUACUCGAGAGCGCGAACGCACGUUGGUGAACGUGGGCGCGGAGAUUUUUCCAUAAAACGAGUCCCCCUCGCUCGGAUGUUGUUCGACCGCGGUGUAUCGGGAUCAAUGACACGCCCGCAGAUUCUCUCCCCCUUUGGGGAUGUCUCCUCCGCGAUCUGUGCGUGAAGCUGCGCCGGGUGGCGGUGUGUAUGCAGAAUUCCAAGCCGCCGCUGUGUCGUCGCCGCCGCCUUCCUUCCUUCGACUUCGCGCGCGCACACACAGCAGGACCUACUGGUUUCUAUUUAUACACCUUGAGCGCGCCGCGAGACCUUGCGAACCAACGCGCCUCUCACGCGAACUCAAAUUUGCUAUAUAUUAUGUCGUAUCCUUUAAUAAGUAUCAAGGGAGAUGCGCUCUCGAUACCACAAAAUUGGAAAAGAGAUUAAAAUUAUUUAAUCUUUAAUCUUUAAUUAAAAUAAUUCGAUAGAAAGUGUACAUAUA